CAAAUAUCUCGCCCUAUCAACUUUCGAUGGUAGGAUAGAGGCCUACCAUGGUUGCAACGGGUCAACGGGGAAUAACGGGUUCGAUUCCGGAGAGGGAGCCUGAGAAACGGCUACCACAUCCAAGGAAGGCAGCAGGCCGCGCAAAUUACCAAUCCCGACACGGGGAGGUAGUGACAAUAAAUAACAAUAUAGGGCUCUUUUGGGUCUUAUAAUUCGGACAUGAGUACAAUUCUUAAAUCUCUUAACGAGGAACAAUUGGCAGGGCAAGUCUGGUGCCAGCAGCCGCGGUAAUUCCAGCUCCAAUAGCGUCAUCAUCACAGUUGUCCGCAGUUCAAAAAGCUCGUAGUUGAACUUCAGAUCUGGUUUGAGUGGUCCGCCUAACGGUGUGUUACUGCUUGACUGGGUCUUGUCUCUUGGUGAAACCGUUGUGUUCUUUAUUGGAUGCUUCGGGGAACCAGGACUUUUACCUUGAGAAAAUUCAGAGUGUUCAAAGCAGGCCUAUGCUCGAAUACAUUAGCAUGGAACUACUAGAAUAGGACGUGUGGC
rnacentral:rRNA from 1 species